UUAAGAUGGAUUAAGAUACUCUUUCCAAGAGUAUAAGCAAUUUUGCACUUGGACAUUUGGGAUGAACACCCCUUCCUCUGACACGCACAGUCUCAUCUGUUACUAGCAAUGACCACCUGAAUCUUCAGUUGGUUCUCCUCAAGCAGGGCUAGAGCCUAAUCUCCAUGGAUUGGUUGGAAGUAUUUUCCACGAUGCUACUUCAUACCAUCUGGGAGGUGCCUGGUACCCAAAGGUGAAGCUGUUUCCCACUUGGAAACCUCUGGAAAGCCAAAGAGUGCCCAUCUGACUGCUCUUGCAAACUGCUAACCUUGACAGUGUGCUAGCAGAGAUGAUUCCAGGCACAAGUGACGACUUGAAUUGGCAUCUCUACAUCCAGACACCCUGGAAGGACAAAAGUGAUGCUCCAAAGCACGACAAAAUAUGAAGACAUGAGAUUGUGUGAAAUCACUUGUAUACACAUGGAGCAUAUGUUAUGGUGGC